CAUUUAACGCGACAAAGUGCUACAAGUACCAUCUCUUGCAAACAUUCACCACUGGGCACGGUUGUUAAGAAACCUUCCUGAUAAUAAGUCAUUGAUAGGAGGAAAAUAAAGAAGAUACGUAAUUGUGCAGACUAGAAGGCUGAAUGGAUGCUGGGGGACUGAUUCAACAUGACACCUCUCUGCAG